rnacentral:rRNA from 1 species
GGCAGAGGUGCCAAGCGUUAGGCGGAAUCACUGGGCUUAAAGCGUGUGUAGGCGGAUCGUUAAGUACCUUGUGAAAUCCCACGGCUCAACCGUGGAACUGCUGGGUAUACUGGCGAUCUUGAGCCACCUAGGGGCGAGCGGAACAAGCGGUGGAGCGGUGAAAUGCGUAGAUAUCGCUUGGAACGCCAACGGUGAAAACAGCUCGCUGGGGGUGUGCUGACGCUGAGACACGAAAGCCAGGGGAGCGAACGGG